rnacentral:rRNA from 1 species
UACGUAGGAGGCAAGCGUUGUCCGGAAUUACUGGGCGUAAAGCGUGCGCAGGCGGUUUUGUAAGCCAGAUGUGAAAUCCCCGGGCUUAACCUGGGAAUGGCAUUUGGGACUGCAAGGCUGGAGUGCGGCAGAGGAGACUGGAAUUCCUGGUGUAGCAGUGAAAUGCGUAGAUAUCAGGAGGAAUACCGAUGGCGAAGGCAGGUCUCUGGGCUGACACUGACGCUCAUGCACGAAAGCGUGGGGAGCAAACAGG